GGUUGUAGCUCAGUGGUAGAGCACUUGCCUAGCAUGUGUGAGGUACUGGGUUCAAUUCUCAGCACCA
rnacentral:tRNA from 1 species